GAUGAACGCUAGCUACAGGCUUAACACAUGCAAGUCGAGGGGAAACGACAUCGAAAGCUUGCUUUUGAUGGGCGUCGACCGGCGCACGGGUGAGUAACGCGUAUCCAACCUGCCCACCACUUGGGGAUAACCUUGCGAAAGUAAGACUAAUACCCAAUGAUAUCCCACGAAGACAUCUGAAUGGGAUUAAAGAUUUAUCGGUGAUGGAUGGGGAUGCGUCUGAUUAGCUUGUUGGCGGGGUAACGGCCCACCAAGGCAACGAUCAGUAGGGGUUCUGAGAGGAAGGUCCCCCACAUUGGAACUGAGACACGGUCCAAACUCCUACGGGAGGCAGCAGUGAGGAAUAGUGGUCAAUGGGCGAGAGCCUGAACCAGCCAAGUAGCGUGCAGGAAGACGGCCCUAUGGGUUGUAAACUGCUUUUAUAAGGGAAUAAAGUGGGUCACGUGUGACUUUUUGCAUGUACCUUAUGAAUAAGGACCGGCUAAUUCCGUG
rnacentral:rRNA from 1 species